AUACGUAGGGGGCGAGCGUUGUCCGGAAUGAUUGGGCGUAAAGGGCGCGUAGGCGGCGCGGUAAGUCUGGAGUGAAAGUCCUGCUUUCAAGGUGGGAAUUGCUUUGGAUACUGCCGCGCUUGAGUGCAGGAGAGGUUAUCGGAAUUCCCGGUGUAGCGGUGAAAUGCGUAGAGAUCGGGAGGAACACCAGUGGCGAAGGCGGGUAACUGGACUGCAACUGACGCUGAGGCGCGAAAGUGUGGGGAGCAAACAGGAUUAGAUACCCCGGUAGUCCACACUGUAAACGAUGAAUGCUAGGUGUAAGAGGUAUCGACCCCUUUUGUGCCGGAGUCAACACAAUAAGCAUUCCGCCUGGGGAGUACGGCCGCAAGGUUGAAACUCAAAUGAAUUGACGGGG
rnacentral:rRNA from 1 species